UACGUAGGGUCCAAGCGUUAUCCGGAAUCACUGGGCGUAAAGCGUGCGUAGGUGGCGCGUUAAGUGUGAUGUUAAAUCGUGGGGCUCAACCCUAUCGAUGCAUCGCAUACUGGCGUGCUAGAGGGAAGCAGAGGCAAGUGGAAUUUGUAGUGUAGCAGUGAAAUGCGUAGAUAUUACAAGGAACACCAAUGGCGAAGGCAGCUUGCUGGGCUUCUUCUGACACUGAGGUACGAAAGCGUGGGGAGCGAACAGG
rnacentral:rRNA from 1 species